rnacentral:rRNA from 1 species
GGGUCAUUAGGUUGGUCGUGCCACCGGUACGUACUGGUCUCACUGAUUCCUCCUUCCUGAAGAACCGUAAUGCCAUUAAUUUGGUGUUGCGGGGAAACAGGACUGUUACUUUGAAAAAAUUAGAGUGUUUAAAGCAAGCUAACGCUUGAAUACAUUAUCAUGGAAUAAUGAAAUAGGACGAUAGAUCCUAUUUUGUUGGUUUCUAGGAUUGACGUA